GGCGGGAGCAGAGAGACAAGGAAAUGCUGUCACCGCCGUUUAAGAAGCACGUGGAGGUUUGUUAAAGGUAGUGGGAGGCAUAGUUUUUGGCAAUAGCCAGCCAAGGAUACAGGGAACAGGUGCGGCGCCUGCACGCUGACUUCACGUGGUGGAUGUCUGGCUGAGAGAGAAGUAGGAAAUCCUCACAACGCUUCUUCCAGCUUUGAUCUGCCUGGGGCAGCCCGUGGUGGAAGAUGACUCUGUAGCCCUGGUGUCUACCAGUAUCCGGAGUGGGAGCCCCAAGAGCCAUGUAGACAGGCACCCAGCACUGUGCCAGGUAAGAGACCUUCUUGGCCUGCCUUGGUGUCUGCAGUGGGAACUCAUUAUCCUCUGUCUACAGCUUGAGCCAGCGCAAUCUGCUGCACAGAAGCAAGAGGAAGGAAGCUUGCUGAGAAAAGUGGUGCAUGCCUGCCGGUUGUCUCAGCACUUAGACUAAGGCCAGCCUUGGCUACAUAGUAAACGUGAGGCUAGCCUAGAAUUUUUGGUGCAUUGUCGUUUUCUCCCAUGAGCAGGAUGGGGAGAGUCGUCUGGCUCUUGCAGUGGACUGUAGUAGUUAGUCAUCAGCAUCCCUUAUAAGGUCCACUCUCUUUUUCUAUUCCCGGGGCUGCUCUUUCUUUGGAGCAAGAGCUUCCUAGGUACUGAGACUUCCAAGACAGGAUCAUGAGCUGGGUGUGGCGCCACACAGCUGGGACUCCAGCCCUUGGGAGGCAGAGGGAAAGGAUCAUGGGAUUAAUACCAGCUGCACAGCCUUAAAAAGGAAAAACAAACAAACAAACAAAAAAACGAAAAACCAACCAACCAACCAAAACAAAACAAAACAAAAAAA
rnacentral:lncRNA from 1 species